rnacentral:rRNA from 1 species
AGUGAACGCUGGCGGCGUGCCCAAUACAUGCAAGUCGAACGGGGAUUAAGUAGCUUGCUAUUUAAUCUUAGUGGCGCACGGGUGAGUAAUAUAUAGCUAACUUACCCAUUACUAAGGGACAACAGUUGGAAACGACUGCUAAUACCUUAUACUCCGUAUCUAUAUAAGUAGAUACGGGAAAGUUUUUCGGUAAUGGAUAGGGCUAUAUCGUAUCAGCUAGCUGGUAAGGUAAUGGCUUACCAAGGCUAUGACGCGUAACUGGUCUGAGAGGAUGAUCAGUCAAACUGGAACUGAGACACGGUCCAGACUCCUACGGGAAGGAGCAGUAGGGGAUAUUGCGCAAUGGGGGAAAAGCUGAAGCAGCAACGCCGCGUGGAGGAUGACACUUUUCGGAGCGUAAACUCCUUUUCUUGGGAGAGAAUUAUGACGGUACCCAAGGAAUAAGCACCGGCUAACUCCGUG